rnacentral:rRNA from 1 species
AGAGUUUGAUCAUGGCUCAGAAUCAACGCUGGCGGCGUGCCUAACACAUGCAAGUCGAGCGGUAACAGGUGUAGCAAUACAUGCUGACGAGCGGCGAACGGGUGAGUAAUGCUUCGGAAUCUUCCCAGUAGUGAGGAAUAACUAGCCGAAAGGUUAGCUAAUACCGCAUACGUCCUACGGGAGAAAGCAGGGGAUCGCAAGACCUUGCGCUAUUGGAUGAGCCGAAGUCGGAUUAGCUAGUUGGUGAGGUAACGGCUCACCAAGGCGACAAUCCGUAGCUGGUCUGAGAGGACGACCAGCCACACUGGGACUGAGACACGGCCCAGACUCCUACGGGAGGCAGCAGUGGGGAAUAUUGGACAAUGGGGGAAACCCUGAUCCAGCGACGCCGCGUGUGUGAAGAAGGCCUGCGGGUUGUAAAGCACUUUUAGUGGGGAUGAAAAGUUCAGGGCUAAUACUCCUGGAUCUUGACCUAACCCACAGAAAAAGCACCGGCUAACUCUGUGCCAGCAGCCGCGGUAAUACAGAGGGUGCAAGCGUUAAUCGGAAUUACUGGGCGUAAAGCGUGCGUAGACGGUUAUGUAAGUCAGGUGUGAAAGCCCCGGGCUCAACCUGGGAAUUGCAUUUGAGACUGCAUAGCUAGGGUGCGGAAGAGGGAAGCGGAAUUUCCGGUGUAGCGGUGAAAUGCGUAGAUAUCGGAAGGAACACCAGUGGCGAAAGCGGCUUCCUGGUCCAGCACCGACGUUCAGGCACGAAAGCGUGGGGAGCAAACAGGAUUAGAUACCCUAGUAGUCC